GGGUCAAUGCAAAGAGGUCUUGUUAUGCCUUGAAACCAAGAGCUCCCAACACUGUAACCUAGGUUCUUUACAGGACGAUAAAGGGACUCAAUAAUAAGGAGUUUUCCUAGGAAAAUACUUUG
rnacentral:snoRNA from 14 species